rnacentral:rRNA from 1 species
UAGUCCACGCCGUAAACGAUGAUUACUCGCUGUAGGCGAUACACAGUCUGUGGCUAAGCGAAAGUUUUAAGUAAUCCACCUGGGGAGUACGAUCGCAAGAUUGAAACUCAAAGGAAUUGACGGGGGCCCGCACAAGCGGAGGAACAUGUGGUUUAAUUCGAUGAUACGCGAGGAACCUUACCAGAGCUUAAAUGUAGAGUGACAGGUCUAGAGAUAGAUUUUUCUUCGGACACUUUACAAGGUGCUGCAUGGUUGUCGUCAGCUCGUGCCGUGAGGUGUCAGGUUAAGUCCUAUAACGAGCGCAACCCCUGUUGUUAGUUGCCAGCGAGUGAUGUCGGGAACUCUAACAAGACUGCCAGUGCAAACUGUGAGGAAGGUGGGGAUGACGUCAAAUCAUCACGGCCCUUACGUCCUGGGCUACACACGUGCUACAAUGGUAGGGACGGAGAGCAGCCACUUCGCGAGAAGGAGCGAAUCUACAAACCCUAUCACAGUUCGGAUCGG